rnacentral:rRNA from 1 species
UCGACGGAAACGAUGCUAGCUUGCUAGCAGGCGUCGAGUGGCGGACGGGUGAGUAAUGUAUAGGGAUCUGCCUAGUAGUGGGGGACAACAUGUGGAAACGCAUGCUAAUACCGCAUACGCUCUACGGAGGAAAGUGGGGGACCUUUCGGGGCCUCAUGCUACUAGAUGAACCUAUAUUGGAUUAGCUUGUUGGUAAGGUAAUGGCUUACCAAGGCGACGAUCCAUAGCUGGUUUGAGAGAAUGAUCAGCCACACUGGGACUGAGACACGGCCCAGACUCCUACGGGAGGCAGCAGUGGGGAAUAUUGCACAAUGGACGAAAGUCUGAUGCAGCAAUGCCGCGUGUGUGAAGAAGGCCUUAGGGUUGUAAAGCACUUUCAGACGUGAGGAAAAGUAAUAAUUUAAUAAAUUAUUACCUUGACGUUAACGUCAGAAGAAGGACCGGCUAACUCCGUGCCAGCAGCCGCGGUAAUACGGAGGGUCCAAGCGUUAAUCGGAAUUACUGGGCGUAAAGCGCGCGUAGGCGGAUAUUUAAGUCAGAUGUGAAAUCCCUGGGCUCAACCUAGGAACUGCAUUUGAUACUGGAUAUCUAGAGUAUGGUAGAGGUGAGUGGAAUUUCAGGUGUAGCGGUGAAAUGCGUAGAGAUCUGAAGGAACAUCAGUGGCGAAGGCGACUCACUGGGCCAUUACUGACGCUGAGGUGCGAAAGCGUGGGUAGCAAACAGGAUUAGAUACCCUGGUAGUCCACGCCCUAAACGAUGUCAACUAGGUGUAUGGAGAAUUUAUUCUUUGUGUAUCGAAGCUAACGCGAUAAGUUGACCGCC